rnacentral:rRNA from 1 species
CCUACGGGAGGCUGCAGUGGGGAAUAUUGGACAAUGGGGGCAACCCUGAUCCAGCCAUGCCGCGUGUGUGAAGAAGGCCCUCGGGUUGUAAAGCACUUUCAGUGAGGAAGAACGCCUGGUGGUUAAUACCCAUCAGGAAAGACAUCACUCACAGAAGAAGCACCGGCUAACUCCGUGCCAGCAGCCGCGGUAAUACGGAGGGUGCGAGCGUUAAUCGGAAUUACUGGGCGUAAAGCGCGCGUAGGUGGCUUGAUAAGCCGGUUGUGAAAGCCCCGGGCUCAACCUGGGAACGGCAUCCGGAACUGUCAAGCUAGAGUGCAGGAGAGGAAGGUAGUAUUCCCGGUGUAGCGGUGAAAUGCGUAGAGAUCGGGAGGAAUACCAGUGGCGAAGGCGGCCUUCUGGACUGACACUGACACUGAGGUGCGAAAGCGUGGGUAGCAAACAGGAUUAGAUACCCGAGUAGUC